rnacentral:tmRNA from 1 species
GGGGCUGAUUCUGGAUUCGACGGGAUUUGCGAAACCCAAGGUGCAUGCCGAGGGGCGGUUGGCCUCGUAAAAAGCCGCAAAAAAUAGUCGCAAACGACGAAAACUACGCUUUAGCAGCUUAAUAACCUGCUUAGAGCCCUCUCUCCCUAGCCUCCGCUCUUAGGACGGGGAUCAAAAGAGGUCAAACCCAAAAGAGAUCGCGUGGAAGCCCUGCCUGGGGUUGAAGCGUUAAAACUUAAUCAGGCUAGUUUGUUAGUGGCGUGUCCGUCCGCAGCUGGCAAGCGAAUAUAAAGACUGACUAAGCAUGUAGUACCGAGGAUGUAGGAAUUUCGGACGCGGGUUCAACUCCCGCCAGCUCCACCA